rnacentral:lncRNA from 1 species
GUCAGAUCCUGUUUCAUCUCCAAGCCCUAAUGAAAUGAACUCUGCCCUAGGAGUCACCCUUGCAGAUAUCAGCUUCAGCUGAGCUGAUCACCAUAAGGCUUUCUUCACAGCCAAUGCAAGAAGCAGCGUUGCAAGGUGAGAUUCAUCUGACCUAUUCUGAUUGUCUACUUGAGGGUGAGAAGAAUUGCACCCUGAAGUCUGUUGAGCAUUAACUGCUUUGCCAUUGACUCUGAAGGAGGCUAGGAUGGCUAUCUCAAGUGUGUUUACAUUGGAGAUAAGCAUCGUUGAUCAUAUGAAUCUCACUGAGUGUGACUGAGCACAGAGCAGCCUGGAGCAGUGCAGGGCAGCUGAUCUAUCAUUUUGCUAUUGGUUUCUUGGGACACCCACUUUGCAUUAUGUCUGAAUCAAGUUGCAGAAUCCCUUCUGUGCCCAAGGCGAUGCACAAGGAGGAGACACAAAUUCUCCAGUAGUGUUGCACAGGAGGCUGUAUAUUGAGAUUUACCCUAGAGACCACUAAUCCUGAGAGUCUGCAAUGAGAGUGAGCAGCUAUCUGUAUCCUACUUAUGCACCAAGGAUGGUUAAGUCAGCCAGACACCCCCCCGCCCUGGAAAGCUACAGUUAUUUUGAUACUUACUUUGAACUGUCAAGAGAGUUUACAGCGAAUGCAUACCAUUUGUGUAAUUAAUUUAGCAUAUGUCUCUUAAUCCAUGUAAAUAAUAAUAAUCUCAAAUUUGUGUUCCUGUAUUUCAUUUUAAAGUAUUCAUGAAUUUUGCUCAUAUCAUUCCUAAGGGCCAAAGUGUACUGGAGUGACAAUGCACUUUACAAAUGUCACCUGGUGAGUGUACUAGAGAGGACAUUGGAAUGAUUUGUAUCAACUUCUGUGGGUUUUGGACAUGCUUCUUUGUUCAUAUCUGCAUAGGGUAUCUCUAAGGUCAUAAAACACUUGAUAUUCAGACAGCUAAGUACCUAUUUUGAAAUUAUGGUAAAUAUAUUUACAAAUGUAGGCAGAAGUAACAUUUCAUACAAACAGCCAUAGUCCCACCUGAAGUGAUGUAUCUGCAACAUUAUUUUGACUAAUGCAUCUCCACCAUGUGUAGUUUUACAUUAUAUAAUACGACAGGAGCCUCUUGGCUGAUUAGAGUAGUUGUAGUAAUUGUAACACAAAAAAGUAA